rnacentral:rRNA from 1 species
AAAAAGAUUAGAGUAGUAAUAGUUAAAUCUUAAAACUUAAAAAAUUUGGCGGUAUUUUAUUCUAUUCAGAGGAACUUGUUUUAUAAUUGAUAAUCCCCAAUGUAUCUUACUUAAUUUUGCUAAAUUUGUAUAUCGUUGUCAUAAGAAUAUUUUAAUUAAAAAAUAAUAUUCAAUAUAAUAUAUAAUUUAUUAUGUCAGAUCAAGGUGCAGUUUAUAAUUAAGAAAAAAUGAGUUACAAUUAAGAAGAUUAAUAACGAAUUAUUAAUUGAAAAAUUAAUAUAAAGGUGGAUUUGAUAGUAAAUUUUUAAAGAUUAUAAAGUUGAUUU